UACGUAUGGUCCGAGCGUUGUCCGGAAUUACUGGGCGUAAAGAGCUCGUAGGUGGUUUGUCGCGUUGUUCGUGAAAACUCACAGCUCAACUGUGGGCGUGCGGGCGAUACGGGCAGACUGGAGUACUGCAGGGGAGACUGGAAUUCCUGGUGUAGCGGUGGAAUGCGCAGAUAUCAGGAGGAACACCGGUGGCGAAGGCGGGUCUCUGGGCAGUAACUGACGCUGAGGAGCGAAAGCGUGGGGAGCGAACAGG
rnacentral:rRNA from 1 species